UACAGAGGGUGCGGGCGUUGUCCGGAAUCACUGGGCGUAAAGGGCGCGUAGGCGGCUUUUCAAGCGUGCGGUGAAAGCUCGGGGCUUAACUCCGAGUCUGCCGUGCGAACUGGGAGGCUUGAGUCUGGUAGAGGUCGAUGGAAUUCCGGGUGUAGCGGUGGAAUGCGUAGAGAUCCGGAGGAAGACCGGUGGCGAAGGCGGUCUGCUGGGCAGUUUCUGACACUGAGGCGCGACAGCGUGGGGAGCAAACAGG
rnacentral:rRNA from 1 species